CCUACGGGUGGCAGCAGUGGGGAAUAUUGCGCAAUGGGCGCAAGCCUGACCCAGCAACGCCGCGUGAAGGAAGAAGGCUUUCGGGUUGUAAACUUCUUUUCUCAGGGACGAAGCAAGUGAUGGUACCUGAGUAAUAAGCCACGGCUAACUACGUGCCAGCAGCCGUGGUACUUCGUAGGGGGCAAGCGUUAUCCGGAUUUACUGGGUGGAAAGGGCGUGUAGGCGGGACUGCAAGUCAGAUGUGAAAACCACGGGCUCAACUUGUGGCCUGCAUUUGAAACUGUAGUUCGUGAGUACUGGAGAGGCAGACGGAAUUCCUAGUGUAGCGGUGAAAUGCGUAGAUAUUAGGAGGAACACCAGUGGCGAAGGCGGUCUGCUGGACAGCAACUGACGCUGAGGCGCGAAAGCGUGGGGAGCAAACAGGAUUAGAUACCCUUGUAGUC
rnacentral:rRNA from 1 species